rnacentral:lncRNA from 1 species
GGCGGGGCCCGGCCGGCGGCGGGGAGGUCGCGGGGCCGGGAGGCGCGAGAAAAAGAAAAACAUCCAUUCAUGAGAGUUCAGGGAUACGUGAAAAUGAAGCAAAUGAGGAAAGACCCAUUCACAUUCCUCCAAAAGAUCUGUGGCUCACUGGAAUCAUGUUACUGGCUCCUGGUAGUCCCUGACUUUACCUGUUUGUUCCAGGAACUUGCUUUAUGGCCAUUUGUUCUAAUGAUCAGUUUGGACAACCAACCUUUAUUCCUCCACCUCAGACAAUAUUCAACAUCCUGUAAUCAUCAUAGCGGAAAUCUCAAGAAGUAUAUGUUUCUCUGAAGGUCACAUGCCUCAUUGCUCUUGGAGAAUAGGUUGACUUCAAGUUCAUGUUCUUCUCUUUUACUGAAGUUGCAUUUAUUGGUCUUAGAUUAUCUGUCAAGAAGGAUGGGAAGGAAAAUUAAAAUGCAAGCUCCAAGAGGGUACACGCUGUUUUGUUCAUCAUUUUCCAAGUGUCUAGCAUAGCUUGAAGCAUAAAUAGGAAUUUAAUAAAUGCUUAUUGAAUGAACGAAGAUCAGUGGUUUUCAGGUUCAUAAUUUCAUUCUUUAUACAGGAGAUUCUUUAUGUUCAUAAUCUCAUUCUUAAUUACUUCACUAAAUCACAGAGAUUAAGAAUAAGAGUUUUGGCAUCAAGCAGGCCUGGAUUAAUUGUUGACUUUGGUUAAGUUACUAAAUAUUCCUUUAAACCUCAAUCUCUUCUUCUGAAAAGGUGAAAAAUGGGGUUGUGUAUGUGAAGUGCUCCGAAGUAUUUGGCACACAAUAAAUUCAUGAUAGAUGGGCUUUAUUAUGAGUAGUAGAUUUUACAGGACAUUUGCUUGUAUUUAUGCAUAUGAAAAUCUACUUCAACUAAAUAAAAAGUAUCUAAAUAAA